UACGUAGGGGGCAAGCGUUGUCCGGAAUCAUUGGGCGUAAAGAGCGUGUAGGCGGCUCGAUAAGUCCGCUGUGAAAGUCCAGGGCUCAACCCUGGAAGGCCGGUGGAAACUGUCGGGCUAGAGUCCGGAAGAGGCGAGUGGAAUUCCCGGUGUAGCGGUGAAAUGCGCAGAUAUCAGGAGGAACACCGGUGGCGAAGGCGGGUCUCUGGGCCGAUACUGACGCUGGAGGAGCGAAAGCGUGGGGAGCGAACAGG
rnacentral:rRNA from 1 species